AUACAUAGUUGGCUUACAAUCGCCACGUCACACAAUACAUGAAUAUAACAUUACAUCAACCAGAUACACACAAGAUCCGGCUACGGUACCAAAAUAAAAGAAGACUACCCCAAAAGCUACACAGAUCCCCGAUCCUCCCAACUGGGCUCCACUACUGAUCAACUGAAACGAAACAACACUACGAACAAGGUCUUCAUCGAGCUCCUCCUUGAGCUCUAUAGCACCAUCUGCUCGCUAUCAUCGGCACCUGCAAACUGGUUUUGGAAGUAUCUGUGAGUCACGGGGACUCCGCAAUCUCACACCCUCGCGAUCAAGACUAUUUAAGCUUAUAGGAAGAGGUAAAAGGUAUGAGGUGGAGCUGCAGCAAGUGACUAGCAUAUAUGGUGGCUAACAUACGCAAAUGAUAGCGAGAAGAGAAGGCAACGACACGAUCGUUCAACUAUGAUCAAGAAGUGAUCAUAGAACAACCUACGUCAAACAUAACUCCAACACCGUGUUCACUUCCCGGACUCCACCGAGAAGAGACCAUCACGGUUACACACACGGUUGAUGUAUUUUAAUUAAGAUAAACUUCAGGUUUUCUACAACCGGACAUUAACAAAUUCCCAUCUGCCCAUAACCGCGGGCACGGCUUUCGAAAGUUCAAUCCCUACAGGGGUGUCCCAACUUAGCCCAUCACAAGCUCUCACGGUCAAUGAAGGAUAUUCCUUCUCCCAAGACAAUCCGAUCAGACUCGGCAUCCCGGAUACAAGACAUCCUCGACAAUGGUAAAACAAGUCCAGCAAGACCGCCCGAUGUGCCGACAAAUCCCGAUAGGAGCUGCACAUAUCACGUUCUCAGGGCAACACCGGAUGAACACUACGAACAACUAAAACCAACCCUCAAGUUUCCCCGAGGUGGCGCUGCAAGUGGCUCUGUUUUGGACCAACACGCAGAGGAGCACUGGCCCGGGGGUUAAAAUAAUGAUGACCCUCGGGAGCGCGACUCCCAAGGGAAAAGUAGGUGGUGGUGAGGCAAAUGGUAAAACCAAGGUUGGGCCUUGCUGGAGGAGUUUUAUUCAAAGCGAACUGUCAAGGGGUUCCCAUUAUAACCCAACCGUGUAAGGAACGCAAAAAACGGGAACAUAACACCGAUAUGACGGAAACUAGGGCGGCAAGAGUGAAACAAAACACCGGGCAUAAGGCCGAGCCUUCCACCCUUUACCAAGUAUAUAGAUGCAUUAAUUAAAUAAGAGAUAUUGUGAUAUCCCAACAAAAUAUCCAUGUUCCAACAAGGAACAAACUCCAAUCUUCACCUGCAACUAACAACGUUAUAAGAGGGGCUAAGCAAAGCGGUAACAUAGCCAAACAACAGUUUGCUAGGACAAGGUGGGUUAGAGGCUUGGCUUAACAAUAUGGGAGGCAUGAUAAGCAAGUGGUAGGUAUCGCAGCAUAGGCAUAGCAAAAGAGCGAGCAACUAGCAAGCAAAGAUAGAAGUGAUUUCGAGGGUAUGGUCAUCUUGCCUGAGAUCCCGCAAGGAAGAAGAACGAGUCCAUGAAGAAGACAAACGGACGUAGCCAACGUAUCCUCCCAAACGCAACGUUACCGGAUUACCGAGAAGAAGUACACCGGAAAGAAAGCAAACAACAUAGUGAACAAACAUCACAUAAGCAUGGCACGAUGCGCAAACAAAUAUGAUGCAUGUCCGGUUUAAUGAGGCAUGGCAUGGCAAAGUGCACAAACAACCCUACAAAUUAAGUGAAGCUCAAUAUGCAACUCCGUUGCAUAUUGACGGAACACCACAUUCAAGUUAUUUAGUUCGAUCUCGUUUAUGUACCCAACAACAUUAAAUGUUGAUUAACAUGGCAAGGGGUGAAGCAAAUGAAAACUACCUAUCUAGGCAAGUUUAAAUGAGGCCGGAACAACAAACAACAAGUCCGGAAACUCCUCAUGCGCAAAUUUUAAGGUUUGGUACUGUUCUGCCCUACACACAAUUUUAAAGUUGUUAAACAUGCAAAGUAAGGUCACCAUGAUAAACUAGGAAUUUUUCUACCCCAUUGACAUAUAAAGUUUGUUAGGUUUGAAGCUACGGUUGUUUAGUUAUGAAUUAAAGCAUUUUAGCAUGUUAUUUAAGCAAAAUAAAGAAAACAUCAUUUUAAACAUUUUUUAACAUGGAUGAAAGUUGCAAAUUAUUAAUCUACACAAAAUUAUAAGCAUUUUACAUAUUAAGUUUGUUCAAUUUGCAUGCACGGUUGGUGAGAUAUUAAAUGCAUGAAGUUUAGGUUUUUUUUAACAAAACAGAAAAUCCCAGGAAUAAAGCUAAUUUCGCUGGAACUGGCAAAAAAACACGCACAGGCCGGUUUGCAGCAUACCGCAGCAGCCCAAGAGGAUUUGGCCCAAGUGGUUGAGUGACUGUUUGGCAAAAAAAUAAAUAAAGGAAACAGGGCAGCCUGGGACUUGAACACAGGACCUCUUGAUGUGUCUUCGAGGGAACAACCAGUAAGCUAGCCGAUCUGCUUGUGGUGGAACAUAGUGACAACUCUGAAAUAACCUAUACACCAGAACGGAUCUAGGAACAGAACAAAGCUUCAGUUAUGGAGGAAGUUGCUCGCAGCGGGAAAACAGAGGCCGACGGCCAUGGCGAUUCUGGCCCUUGGCUGGCUGGGUAAGCGGAAGGAGUUGGGCGCCCCUAAACUUGCGGCCCUUGCGCACACGCGGGCGCUGGCAGGGACGAACGAGGCGCUGGGGAGCCACUAGAUCAGCUGCACGCAGCGAUACAGAGCAGCGAUAGAACUUGGCGCGGCUUCAGCAGGAUCACGGAACAGACGAAGGUCGGGAGGGCAGCAGCGGCUGGACCCGGGCGCGAGCGUGGCAGGGUUGGCGGCGCGGAUGACGUAGAGAUGGUUGGAUCCGGGCGGCGAGGCGCCGAAACCCCACUUGGACGAGGCAGGGAAGACCGGCGAUGAGUUUUCUGCACGGAGACAGCGACGAGGGAUUAGAGAUGAGAGAGACCUCGGGGAGGAAAAUAGAGGAGGAAGAGGAUGCGACGGGACCUGGGGCUUCGGCCAUCGAUGGUGGUGAGGCUCGCCGGCGACGAGGCGAGGAAGAGGGGGUUUGUCAGCGCGGGGACGCCCCGGAUUGAGCGGGAGGAGGCUGACUACAAGGGAAUUGAUGGAGGUAGCUGGCGGCGCUGGGUUGGCUCGGGAAAGAGUGAGGGGAUCCCGAGGAAGAUUUUUGGAGCGGCGACGGCAGGGAGGGACAAACCUCCUAUGUUUUAGGGUUAGGCUAGAUUAGGUGAGUUUGGGCUAUAAAUAUAAGGAAAAGAGGGAGUUUGGAUCAUCCGAUCGAAAUCGGACGGUUCAGAAAGAAUAGGCUAGGGAGUCCAAAUAAUAAAACGGUGACGUUUUGUAGAUGUUUGGGGAUGAUCCGGACACAACGGUCAUGACUGCUCGGGUCGGGUCCAGAACAAUUUUCGGACACGCGCGAGGGGGGCUGCGGGCUGACGAGAGAGGUUAGAUUGGACCUAGCGGUAGGUAGUGAGCUGCGUAGAGGGUCUCGAGCUGAGAGAAGAGAAGAGAGGGAGGUCCGGCGACUGUUUUCGGAGACCGAAAACGUCCGACGUUAAACCGGCUAUAAUGCCGCUAUAGUUUAACGGUUGGGCUAUCAGACGAACUCCGAAUGCGAUGAAACUUGACAGACGCUCUAUCUACACUAUAAUAAGACCACACGCCAACUUUCAACCCAAUUCGAGAACAUUUUCCGGCCACUUAUAAAAUAAUAAUUCGGACGUGCCGCGGGCGCGUGCAAGUGUGUCUGGGCUCAGAACGGACAACGGAAGGAACUGGGAGACCCGGACUAAUGCAAGUUUUCAAAACAUGAUGAUGCAAUGCACAUGAUGACAUGACAAGAUGCAACACGCAAGCAAAUGACAAGGCAAACAACAGCGAAAAACUGGAGGACACCUGGCACAUCGGUCUCGGGGCGUUACAGCACUCCACCACUACGAGAGGAUCUCGUCCUGAGAUCUAGAAUGGCACUGGAGGGACAACAGAAGAGAAAGAGAAGAGGUAAAACUAAGUUGCUUCAUUGACAAACAAGAGAAACCAAAGAACCUUGAAAAGGUUAAGCCAUUUCGAGAAAAGAAUACAACGGAGAUGACGAAGUUGAAAACACUCCGUUAGGAAAGGGAACAAAGAAGAACAAAUUCGAGUAGCACUCCGGUUGGAAAGAUAUGCAAGGCUUGAUAAAAUAAAGAACUUGAGCAGCGGGCACACACUCCGGUUAAAUGGAUAAGCAUAAAAAUAGCACGAUCCUGACAAAACAAGAAGAUGGGUUGAAGAGAGCAACAUCACAAUGCCUCCAGAACAAAAGAAUAGAAGAUAGAUAAUUGAAAGAAAAGAAUGGAGAAGAGAAUGCCAGCUUCUGCCACAACAGAUCUUGAAAAGGCAUCCUUAUGAGAAGGGUCGAACGGAGUUGUUGGAAAACCAACAACGAAAAGAGUAAGCUUGUUGUAGGCUUAUGGAAGACAUCUCAAAAUUAUGAGGUGAAAUUCUGCCACAAACGGAAACAAUAGAUUGGAUUUAAAUGAACAAGAAGACGAGAAACUAUUUCACCGGGAGGAUAAAUGAAGAACUUGGGUCAUUUAUAAGCACCAUAAUUAGCAACAAUCCUUAGGGAAGGCUUUUGGUGAAACAUGACACAAGAUAACUCCAACGAACAGAUUGAUGGUUUUAAAAUAUCUCAUUCCUAACAACAUGUGAAUCAUGAAACAUGAACUCAAAUUAUUAAGAAUGACAUAAUACCACCUCCAAUAAUAUGGUAGAAAGAAUUGCACUCCGGAUUGCACGAAGAAGAAUACUUGAGCUCCUUAGAAAAGAAUGUUGAUGAACACUCGAGAAGGAAAUUAAAUCCUAGAUGAAACCGUCAUGUAGAACCUUCAUGAAGAACUCCGGUAACGAAAGGAUAACGAAAAGAAAGAGAAGUUAAAAAACACGAGAUGAAACCUUGCGAUGAUUUGAUGGAUCUCCGUGAUAAUUAGAGCUUGGAACUCCAAGAAAGAAAAGGUGAACAAAAGAAAGUCAAGAAUUUAUUCAUGAUGAACAAACUCUGAAGGAAGGAAUUUAUCACUUGGAUGAAACAAAGAAUAAGAAUUAUGUUGUGCGCAUCCUUCACCAAUUUAGAUUGAUGACAAGCCACGAAUUUGGCAAACUACUUAUUCUCGUUGAAAGAAUUAAUAUAGAUAUAGCGCAAACUUGAGGAAUGUCUUCAACAAACCAUCGGUGGGAUUUGGAAAACAACGAAUGAAUUGAUAUGAUAACCAAGGAAGGGAAUCUUGAAGGAACCACCGUAAGAAUUGAAAAUGAACGAAGUAAAAAGGAUGAAUCACCGGGUAAGAAUUGUGAAAUGAACGAAGAUACUUGAGACAAUCUAGAUACAUGAGAACGAAGGGAUCACGAACUGAUUAGAGAUCACUUGAACGAUGCACCGGUAAGAUUGGAGAAUGAUAAAUGACAGCUGAGAAUGAAUAAACCUGAAUUGAUGGACUCCGGAUAAUCAAACUGAGAAGACUCUUGAAUUGCUCCGGAUAGGUGAAAAGAAUUCUCACAAUCAAAACAAUUAUGAGAGGAUGACAUCAAGGUAGAACCAUGAAUCUCUGAGAGAGCGGAUAAGAUAUCGAGGAAAAACUCUUCUUCGGUAUUCAAAUGUUGAGAAUGACGAUGAGAAAUACCGCCAUGAAUUGUUGAGAUACUCCGGGAUGAAAAAUUAGAAAGGUCGAACCAACGAUGAAAGAAUUUGACAGAUCUUGGAGAAAGACAUAUGACUGAUGACAAAUCAUUCUUAUGUCAAACUCUGAAAAAGAAAUUUGAGGAUAGCUCCGGGAAAAUAGAGGAGUCAGGUAAGACCCUGGGAAAAGACCUUUGGGUUAGGGCCCACUGAAAAGAUACAUCGUUGAACGAUUUUGAAGAGAUAUUGCAACGGUUGAUUAAAUGGCUUGAAUCAGAUAACCACCUCGAAAGAGCUUGAACGAAUGUAGAGUGGAAACACGAAUCUUCGAGAUAUCUUGAGCACUCCGAAACAAUUGAAUAGCGAGGAGUGUAUGAUUAAGAGGUGCACUGGCAAAAGAAGGUAUUUGAAACGAGGAAAAAGGAUAUGAUCCACAAAGCUUGAAUUGGAUCCACCAGAGAAGAAAAUGAGUGAAGAGUGACAAACUUGAAGCUUCGUUAGAAUCUUCAUGAGAAUCACCGGAUACGAACAUUGAAAGAAAAGAAUGAAGAGACUUCACAAGAAUAAAAUGGAUACUUGAUUAAGAAAUCCGAGUCCUUGAAGAAAAAGGGUGGGAGGGUGGGAAAAUAAAGGCAACUUGGGAUGGAUGAAACGAACACCAUUGAGAAAACUGAGAUUGAAUCUUACAGAUGUUGAGAAAGAACAGAUCCGCUUGAAGAGAAAACACACCGGUUGAAAAAGAAUUACCAUGACAAUCUCGAUGAUCCAGAAGGAUUAGUAUUCACAUCGGAGUAUGAGAAUACUGUUUAGGAAAGGUAUGGAAUCAACACUUGACAUUGAAGCAACUCGAAUACCACAGCUCAAAAACAAAACAAAGGAUUGACUUGCAAAAUAAGCCGUAACAAACAUAUGAUAGAGAUUUCGUCCGAAUUUUCAUGGUGGGGCCUACACGGGCUCGAUCGUACAGCACCAUCAUGUACAAGGCAGUGCACAUGACAUACGAAGCGUCUCCGAGUCGGCAUAGCCAAGGACUCUUUAAGACACAACGAGACCACUGUAAAACCAACCAUGGAUAGGCGGACCACUAGACGUCGAGCCCCAAUUUCAUGUCAUACAUCUGUCAGAAAGGUAUCCUACGAGCUACUUGAAUUGCCACUUAUAAACUCCCGAAACUUUCCAGUUAUGCAAUCAGGUGUUGGGGAUACAGGGGAAGCAUACUAUCUCACCCAAAGCUAGCAAAUCCUACAUCCAGCUGUAUCCAUCCUUCAACACAUAACCAAGAAACCUUCGAAAAUCGUUUACCUCAACAUUCGAAAAGCAUCUGUUAUACGAGUUAUGGCAAUACUCCCGAACUCCCGCCCAAGUACUGGGUGGCGUCGAGGUUAUCUCACCAACAACUGCAUAAAAGAGAUUUUCGAUGUCGGCGAACUCAGGUAUUCCAGAACUGCAACGAUAAGAUUGUGAAGACAACACCUCGGAGCUCAACUCCCCGGGACGCUGCCACAACCCCUAAAUGUCAGGAGGCACCAAGAACAAUGUUCUCGUCACAAAACCAUCGGAACGAUUCCAAGAUACCCGCGUGAUCCUAAAUUUUUUUUAGUGAAAUUUGAGAAGAGAAGAGUCAAAACUCUACGUCAGGAUGCCUCACCAGAGCGACGAAGGGACUGAGGAGUAAAAAGAAUCCUACUCUCCGAUAUAUAUAAUCCUAACUGACUCAAAACAUUUUUCUAGACUCAACAUCGCCAGUGAUUCGAUCAAGCAGGGGGCUCCUAAGGUCGGGGAAGGCUCUGAUACCAACUUGUAAUGCCCUCGAUGUGGCUAUAUCUCCCACGUGUCGAAGCACGACUUAGAGGCAUAACCGCAUUAAAAGCAAUGUCGCAAGUGAGGUAAUCUUCACACAACACAUGUAAUACAUAAGGGAAAGAGAUACAUAGUUGGCUUACAAUCGCCACGUCACACAAUACAUGAAUAUAACAUUACAUCAACCAGAUACACACAAGAUCCGGCUACGGUACCAAAAUAAAAGAAGACUACCCCAAAAGCUACACAGAUCCCCGAUCCUCCCAACUGGGCUCCACUACUGAUCAACUGAAACGAAACAACACUACGAACAAGGUCUUCAUCGAGCUCCUCCUUGAGCUCUAUAGCACCAUCUGCUCGCUAUCAUCGGCACCUGCAAACUGGUUUUGGAAGUAUCUGUGAGUCACGGGGACUCCGCAAUCUCACACCCUCGCGAUCAAGACUAUUUAAGCUUAUAGGAAGAGGUAAAAGGUAUGAGGUGGAGCUGCAGCAAGUGACUAGCAUAUAUGGUGGCUAACAUACGCAAAUGAUAGCGAGAAGAGAAGGCAACGACACGAUCGUUCAACUAUGAUCAAGAAGUGAUCCUAGAACAACCUACGUCAAACAUAACUCCAACACCGUGUUCACUUCCCGGACUCCACCGAGAAGAGACCAUCACGGUUACACACACGGUUGAUGUAUUUUAAUUAAGAUAAACUUCAGGUUUUCUACAACCGGACAUUAACAAAUUCCCAUCUGCCCAUAACCGCGGGCACGGCUUUCGAAAGUUCAAUCCCUAGAGGGGUGUCCCAACUUAGCCCAUCACAAGCUCUCACGGUCAAUGAAGGAUAUUCCUUCUCCCAAGACAAUCCGAUCAGACUCGGCAUCCCGGUUACAAGACAUCCUCGACAAUGGUAAACAAGUCCAGCAAGACCGCCCGAUGUGCCGACAAAUCCCGAUAGGAGCUGCACAUAUCACGUUCUCAGGGCAACACCGGAUGAACACUACGAACAACUAAAACCAACCCUCAAGUUUCCCCGAGGUGGCGCUGCAAGUGGCUCUGUUUUGGACCAACACGCAGAGGAGCACUGGCCCGGGGGGUUAAAAUAAUGAUGACCCUCGGGAGCGCGACUCCCAAGGGAAAAGUAGGUGGUGGUGAGGCAAAUGAUAAACCAAGGUUGGGCCUUGCUGGAGGAGUUUUAUUCAAAGCGAACUGUCAAGGGGUUCCCAUUAUAACCCAACCGUGUAAGGAACGCAAAAAACGGGAACAUAACACCGAUAUGACGGAAACUAGGGCGGCAAGAGUGAAACAAAACACCGGGCAUAAGGCCGAGCCUUCCAACCUUUACCAAGUAUAUAGAUGCAUUAAUUAAAUAAGAGAUAUUGUGAUAUCCCAACAAAAUAUCCAUGUUCCAACAAGGAACAAACUCCAAUCUUCACCUGCAACUAACAACGUUAUAAGAGGGGCUAAGCAAAGCGGUAACAUAGCCAAACAACGGUUUGCUAGGACAAGGUGGGUUAGAGGCUUGGCUUAACAAUAUGGGAGGCAUGAUAAGCAAGUGGUAGGUAUCGCAGCAUAGGCAUAGCAAAAGAGCGAGCAACUAGCAAGCAAAGAUAGAAGUGAUUUCGAGGGUAUGGUCAUCUUGCCUGAGAUCCCGCAAGGAAGAAGAACGAGUCCAUGAAGAAGACAAACGGACGUAGUCAACGUAUCCUCCCAAACUCAACGUUACCGGAUUACCGAGAAGAAGUACACCGGAAAGAAAGCAAACAACAUAGUGAACAAACAUCACAUAAGCAUGGCACGAUGCGCAAACAAAUAUGAUGCAUGUCCGGUUUAAUGAGGCAUGGCAUGGCAAAGUGCACAAACAACCCUACAAAUUAAGUGAAGCUCAAUAUGCAACUCCGUUGCAUAUUGACGGAACACCACAUUCAAGUUAUUUAGUUCGAUCUCGUUUAUGUACCCAACAACAUUAAAUGUUGAUUAACAUGGCAAGGGGUGAAGCAAAUGAAAACUACUUAUCUAGGCAAGUUUAAAUGAGGCCGGAACAACAAACAACAAGUCCGGAAACUCCUCAUGCGCAAAUUUUAAGGUUUGGUACUGUUCUGCCCUACACACAAUUUUAAAGUUGUUAAACAUGCAAAGUAAGGUCACCAUGAUAAACUAGGAAUUUUUCUACCCCAUUGACAUAUAAAGUUUGUUAGGUUUGAAGCUACGGUUGUUUAGUUAUGAAUUAAAGCAUUUUAGCAUGUUAUUUAAGCAAAAUAAAGAAAACAUCAUUUUAAACAUUUUUUAACAUGGAUGAAAGUUGCAAAUUAUUAAUCUACACAAAAUUAUAAGCAUUUUACAUAUUAAGUUUGUUCAAUUUGCAUGCACGGUUGGUGAGAUAUUAAAUGCAUGAAGUUUAGGUUUUUUUAACAAAACAGAAAAUCCCAGGAAUAAAGCUAAUUUCGCUGGAACUGGCAAAAAAACACGCACAGGCCGGUUUGUAGCAUACCGCAGCAGCCCAAGAGGAUUUGGCCCAAGUGGUUGAGUGACUGUUUGGCAAAAAAAUAAAUAAAGGAAACAGGGCAGCCUGGGACUUGAACACAGGACCUCCUGAUGUGUCUUCGAGGGAACAACCAGUAAGCUAGCCGAUCUGCUUGUGGUGGAACAUAGUGACAACUCUGAAAUAACCUAUACACCAGAACGGAUCUAGGAACAAAAUAAAGCUUCAGUUAUGGAGGAAGUUGCUCACAGCGGGAAAACAGAGGCCGACGGCCAUGGCGAUUCUGGCCCUUGGUUGGCUGGGUAAGCGGAAGGAGUUGGGCGCCCCUAAACUUGCGGCCCUUGCGCACACGCGGGCGCUGGCAGGGACGAACGAGGCGCUGGGGAGCCACUAGAUCAGCUGCACGCAGUGAUACAGAGCAGCGAUAGAACUUGGCGCGGCUUCAGCAGGAUCGCGGAACAGACGAAGGUCGGGAGGGCAGCAGUGGCUGGACCCAGGCACGAGCGUGGCAGGGUUGGCGGCGCGGACGACGCGGAGAUGGUUGGAUCCAGGCGGCGAGGCGCUGAAACCCCACUUGGACGAGGCAGGGAAGGCCGGUGACGAGUUUUCUGCAUGGAGAUAGCGAUGAGGGAUUAGAGAUGAGAGAGACCUCGGGGAGGAAAAUAGAGGAGGAAGAGGAUGCGACGGGACCCGGGGCUUCGGCCGUCGAUGGUGGUGAGGCUCGCCGGCGACGAGGCGAGGAAGAGGGGGUUUGUCAGCGCGGGGACGCCCUGGAUUGAGCGGGAGGAGGCUGACUGCGAGGGGAUCGAUGGAGGUAGGUGGCGGUGCUGGGUUGGCUCGGGAAAGAGUGAGGGGAUCCCGAGGAAGAUUUUUGGAGCGGCGGCGGCAGGGAGGGAGAAACC
rnacentral:lncRNA from 1 species